GAAGAAUUGGGCAGUGGCUUUUCUGUCCCCCCAGUCUUGUGAACGUGCUUUGUCACAGAAUCUGGGGGCGCCUUGACCUUAGACCUUCCAGCCCUCAGAACUGUGAACAAUACGUUUUAAUUAUAAAUCAAUAGUUGUGGCGGUUUGAAAGAGAACAACUCCUGAAGGCUCUUGGAUUUGAAUGCUUGGUCACCAGGAAGUGGCACUACUUGAAAGGAUUAGGAGGUGUGGCCUUGUUGCAGGAAGUGUCACUGGGUGUGGGCUUUGACAUUUCAAAAGGGCAGGCCAGGCCCAGUGCCUUUUUCUUUCUGCUGCCUGAGUGAGGGCACAGAUGUAGAACACCCAGCUCCUUCUCUAUCGCCAUGUCUGCUUCCUGUCACCACGUCCCCACGAUGCUGAUAAUGGACUGAUCCUCUGAAACCAGGGAAGAUGCUAUCUGUAACCUGGAGUGAGGAAGCGGGUUCAGACAUGGGAGCGCCCUGCCCUGAGCAACACAGGAAAAGACACUAAAGGUUCUGGCUCGGGGUGUCAUGCUCUUGCCACAAGAGCACACGGCCAGCAAUAGAAAAACAGUUAAAAGAGACCUCUGAAGUGCAGCUGCUUGCCAACUUUUGGCUGAACUUGAGAUCUGGUCUGGCCUGCCCUUUGUGGUGCUCUGUGAGGGGAGCCAAGCCCACAAACAUCCCAGAGCAAAGCAGUGGACAUCUUUCUACUUGUGUUCAGCAGCAGGCCUGGGUGACGUCAGAUGUUGGGAUAGUGACACCUGCUGCUUCCUAGUCCCAUCUGCAUGGCAUGCUUUUCCCCAUCCUUUCACUUUAAGUGGCUCCUGUCUUUGAAGGUGAGAAAGUUCCUAGCAGACAAUA